rnacentral:sRNA from 1 species
GAGGCAUUCAGAGGCUAAACAUCCACAAGGUUAGUUCCCUGAACCCCCAUAAACCUUGCUAUUUAUAUCUCUUCCUCAACUCUGAGGCCUUCACCCUAUAUCGGCUGCAAUGCAGAUUCAGCCUUUAGCGACAGAAUUAUGUACUGAAACGCUCAUUUCUGUGCCGCUGCAGUGGUUAGCUUUGAUUUUUAUAGAGAUGCACAUGAGAAAACAGUCUGAGCCUGGAGAUUUUGACUUGUGGGCUGCUAAGGAGACGGAGCUACUGGAUCUCAGCCUUGUCAAAGAUGCCAGAUGUGGGAGACACGCCAAAGCUCCCAAGGACCCUAAAUUACGUGAACUUUUGGAUGUGGGGAACAUCGGGCGCCUGGAGCAGCGCAUGAUCACAGUGGUGUAUGGGCCUGACCUCGUGAACAUCUCCCAUUUGAAUCUCGUGGCUUUCCAAGAAGAAGUGGCCAAGGAAUGGACAAAUGAGGUUUUCAGUUUGGCAACAAACCUGCUGGCCCAAAACAUGUCCAGGGAUGCAUUUCUGGAAAAAGCCUAUACUAAACUUAAGCUGCAAGUCACUCCAGAAGGGCGUAUUCCUCUCAAAAACAUAUAUCGCUUGUUUUCAGCAGACCGGAAGCGAGUUGAAACUGCUUUAGAGGCUUGUAGUCUUCCAUCUUCAAGGAAUGAUUCAAUACCUCAAGAAGAUUUCACUCCAGAAGUGUACAGAGUUUUCCUCAACAACCUUUGCCCUCGACCUGAAAUUGAUAACAUCUUUUCAGAAUUUGGUGCAAAAAGCAAACCAUAUCUUACCGUUGAUCAGAUGAUGGAUUUUAUCAACCUUAAGCAGCGAGAUCCUCGGCUUAAUGAAAUACUUUAUCCACCUCUAAAACAAGAGCAAGUCCAAGUAUUGAUUGAGAAGUAUGAACCCAACAAUAGCCUCGCCAGAAAAGGACAAAUAUCAGUGGAUGGGUUCAUGCGCUAUCUGAGUGGAGAAGAAAACGGAGUCGUUUCACCUGAGAAACUGGAUUUGAAUGAAGACAUGUCUCAGCCACUUUCUCACUAUUUCAUUAAUUCCUCGCACAACACCUACCUCACAGCUGGCCAACUGGCUGGAAACUCCUCUGUUGAGAUGUAUCGCCAAGUGCUCCUGUCUGGUUGUCGCUGUGUGGAGCUGGACUGCUGGAAGGGACGGACUGCAGAAGAGGAACCUGUCAUCACCCAUGGCUUCACCAUGACAACUGAAAUAUCUUUCAAGGAAGUGAUAGAAGCAAUUGCGGAGUGUGCAUUUAAGACUUCACCUUUUCCAAUUCUCCUUUCAUUUGAGAACCAUGUGGAUUCCCCAAAGCAGCAAGCCAAGAUGGCGGAGUACUGCCGACUGAUCUUUGGGGAUGCCCUUCUCAUGGAGCCCCUGGAAAAAUAUCCACUGGAAUCUGGAGUUCCUCUUCCAAGCCCUAUGGAUUUAAUGUAUAAAAUUUUGGUGAAAAAUAAGAAGAAAUCACAUAAGUCAUCAGAAGGAAGCGGCAAAAAGAAGCUCUCAGAACAAGCCUCCAACACCUACAGUGACUCCUCCAGCGUGUUCGAGCCCUCAUCCCCAGGAGCCGGAGAAGCUGAUACGGAAAGUGACGACGACGAUGAUGAUGAUGACUGUAAAAAAUCUUCAAUGGAUGAGGGGACCGCUGGAAGUGAGGCUAUGGCCACAGAAGAAAUGUCUAACCUGGUGAACUAUAUUCAGCCAGUCAAGUUUGAGUCAUUUGAAAUUUCAAAAAAAAGAAAUAAAAGUUUUGAAAUGUCUUCCUUCGUGGAAACCAAAGGACUUGAACAACUCACCAAGUCUCCGGUGGAAUUUGUAGAAUAUAACAAAAUGCAGCUUAGCAGGAUAUAUCCAAAAGGAACACGUGUGGAUUCAUCCAACUAUAUGCCUCAGCUCUUCUGGAAUGCAGGUUGUCAGAUGGUGGCACUUAAUUUCCAGACAAUGGACCUGGCUAUGCAAAUAAAUAUGGGGAUGUAUGAAUACAACGGGAAGAGUGGCUACAGAUUGAAGCCAGAGUUCAUGAGGAGGCCUGACAAGCAUUUUGAUCCAUUUACUGAAGGCAUCGUAGAUGGGAUAGUGGCAAACACUUUGUCUGUUAAGAUUAUUUCAGGUCAGUUUCUUUCUGAUAAGAAAGUUGGGACUUACGUGGAAGUGGAUAUGUUUGGUUUGCCUGUGGAUACAAGGAGGAAGGCAUUUAAGACCAAAACAUCCCAAGGAAAUGCUGUGAAUCCUGUCUGGGAAGAAGAACCUAUUGUGUUCAAAAAGGUGGUUCUUCCUACUCUGGCCUGUUUGAGAAUAGCAGUUUAUGAAGAAGGAGGUAAAUUCAUUGGCCACCGUAUCUUGCCAGUGCAAGCCAUUCGGCCAGGGUAUCACUAUAUCUGUCUAAGGAAUGAAAGGAACCAGCCUCUGACGCUGCCUGCUGUCUUUGUCUACAUAGAAGUGAAAGACUAUGUGCCAGACACAUAUGCAGAUGUCAUUGAAGCUUUAUCAAACCCAAUCCGAUAUGUGAACCUGAUGGAACAGAGAGCUAAGCAAUUGGCUGCUUUGACACUGGAAGAUGAAGAAGAAGUAAAGAAAGAGGCUGAUCCUGGAGAAACACCAUCAGAGGCUCCAAGUGAAGCGAGAACGACUCCAGCAGAAAACGGGGUGAAUCACACCACAACCCUGACACCCAAACCACCCUCCCAGGCUCUCCACAGCCAGCCAGCUCCAGGUUCUGUAAAGGCACCUGCCAAAACAGAAGAUCUUAUUCAGAGUGUCUUAACAGAAGUGGAAGCACAGACCAUCGAAGAACUAAAGCAACAGAAAUCGUUUGUGAAACUUCAAAAGAAACACUACAAAGAAAUGAAAGACCUGGUUAAGAGACACCACAAGAAAACCACUGACCUUAUCAAAGAACACACUACCAAGUAUAAUGAAAUUCAGAAUGACUACUUGAGAAGGAGAGCAGCCUUGGAAAAGUCUGCCAAAAAGGACAGUAAGAAAAAAUCGGAACCCAGCAGCCCUGAUCAUGGUUCAUCAACGAUUGAGCAAGACCUCGCUGCCCUGGAUGCUGAAAUGACCCAAAAGUUAAUAGACUUGAAGGACAAACAACAGCAGCAGCUGCUUAAUCUUCGGCAAGAACAGUAUUAUAGUGAAAAAUACCAGAAGCGAGAACAUAUUAAACUGCUUAUUCAAAAGUUGACGGAUGUCGCAGAAGAGUGUCAGAACAAUCAGUUAAAGA